AACACUGUUAACCUGCGGUACCUGCGGAAGGAUCAUCAAAGAAAUACCAACCAUCUCAGAGAGGAUGGGGGUGGGGAGACCUGCCUCUGUCUUUUCUGAGCAAACAAACAUACGUGACUAGGAAAGAAGAGAGAAAUGGUUUUAUUGGGGGGGGGGCUCGCAAUGCAGAAGUUCUUGGCUGAUAAGUAGCUUAUUGACUUGGGAUAAUUCAAUACAACUUUCAGCAACGGAUCUCAGAUC
rnacentral:misc_RNA from 1 species